UAGGGAAUCUUCGGCAAUGGACGGAAGUCUGACCGAGCAACGCCGCGUGAGUGAAGAAGGUUUUCGGAUCGUAAAGCUCUGUUGUAAGAGAAGAACGAGUGUGAGAGUGGAAAGUUCACACUGUGACGGUAUCUUACCAGAAAGGGACGGCUAACUACGUGCCAGCAGCCGCGGUAAUACGUAGGUCCCGAGCGUUAUCCGGAUUUAUUGGGCGUAAAGCGAGCGCAGGCGGUUAGAUAAGUCUGAAGUUAAAGGCUGUGGCUUAACCAUAGUACGCUUUGGAAACUGUUUAACUUGAGUGCAAGAGGGGAGAGUGGAAUUCCAUGUGUAGCGGUGAAAUGCGUAGAUAUAUGGAGGAACACCGGUGGCGAAAGCGGCUCUCUGGCUUGUAACUGACGCUGAGGCUCGAAAGCGUGGGGAGCAAACAGGAUUAGAUACCCUGGUAGUCCACGCCGUAACGAUGAGUGCUAGGUGUUAGACCCUUUCCGGGGUUUAGUGCCGUAGCUAACGCAUUAAGCACUCCGCCUGGGGAGUACGACCGCAAGGUU
rnacentral:rRNA from 1 species